CCUACGGGUGGCUGCAGCUAAGAAUCUUCCGCAAUGGGGGAAACCCUGACGGAGCGACGCCGCGUGGAUGAUGAAGGCCGUAAGGUUGUAAAAUCCUUUUGUUGGCGAAGAAUAAGCGUGGGAGUGGAAAGCCCACGUGAUGACGUUAGCCGACGAAUAAGCCCCGGCCAAUUACGUGCCAGCAGCCGCGGUAAUACGUAUGGGGCGAGCGUUGUUCGGAGUUAUUGGGGCGGCUGGGCGUGUAGGCGGCGAAAUCGCAAGGCCUAACCUUGCAUAUGCGCUGGAAACUGGUGGGCUUGAGUUCUUGAGGGGAAGCUGGAAUUCCAGGUGUAGGAGUGAAAUCUGUAGAUAUCUGGAAGAACACCGGUGGCGAAGGCGAGCUUCUAUCAGAGGACUGACGCUGAGGCGCGAAAGCGUGGGGAGCAAACAGGAUUAGAUACCCCGGUAGUC
rnacentral:rRNA from 1 species